rnacentral:rRNA from 1 species
GAGAGUUAAACAGUACGUGAAAUUGUUGAAAGGGAAACGAUUGAAGUCAGUCAUACCAACGGGAAAUCAACCUUUUGAGCUCGGUCUCGUGGGUUUUGAAGAGUUUCAAAGCCUUCGGAUUCGUGAGAUUGGGAUCUCUUGGCGUACUUUCUCGUACGGUUAGUCAACAUCGGUUUUGAAUGUCAUAAAAUGACUGGAGGAAUGUAGCUUCGAUCUCGUAUUGAAGUGUUAUAGCCUUUGGUAGAUGUGAUGUUUGAGACCGAGGAUUGCAACGGAUACCCUUCAGGGCUAUUCGUCUGAUCUCUGAUACGUUGCCUUGAUGUUGAAAGCUUGCUUAUGAUGUUAGGGUAUUACGGUCAAAAGGUUAGAACGAAUUACAUUCGUUAAGGAUGUUGACGUAAUGACUUUAAACGA